rnacentral:misc_RNA from 1 species
UCUCCGUUGGUGAACCAGCGGAGGGAUCAUUACCAGAGAUUUACAAAUCCCAACCCUUCUGUGAACCUACCUAUCGUUUCUUCUGCGGACUCACCCCAGCGUCCGAACGGCCCCGCGCCGGACCGCGACCUGGACAAAGGCGGCCGCCAGAAACCACACGAUCAUGUAACCCUCAAUCCCACUGACUACACCGCAAGGCAAAACACACGCAUCAAAACUUACCACAAUAGAUCUCUUGGUUCUGGCAUCGAAGAAGAACGAAGCGGAAUGGAAGAGCAC